AGACGAGUAGAGCUCGGAGGACUAGUGAAGGAGACGGACUAACCCGGAGAAGACCGCGCGUAUUUAUCCAAUGAUUGGAUCGACAGAUGAAGAGUGAGACCGCGAAUUAGCCAGACAUACGCACUUGGAGGGAAGAUAGAGCUGAAGACUAAAUAAAGGGGAUUCCAAAAAUAUAUUUCUUUAUCUUGGACCUAAAACACAAGUGUCUGAUGAAGCACGCCAUCAUUACCCGCUCACCAAUCGGUCAUGAGUCUGAGGCAGCAAGAUAAAGUAGUCUACGAAAAUGUGAACCGGAGGUCGUUUUCUGUCUUUGGUUAUCUAGCUGUAUGAGUGUUAAAUACCUGUCAUAAAGCUAGAUAACCGAAAGUAGAAAUUACUUCCACAUUCUUGUUCCGGUGGAAAAUAAGGCCUAGGGUAUGCCUAAAACUAAGUUAGGCCUAUUGACAAGUUUCAUCAAGUUCCACCUCAAAGGCGACUCAUUCACAACAUGGUGUGAUCAAGGAGCACAAAUAGGGGACAGAAUCAUCAAAAAAAGCGAAUGAGGAGGAGAAUUGCCACACAAUACCCCACCCCCUUUACCCACUGGCCUCUAAUGCCAUCUGUACUGCAAAAUGGGAGACAAGAGACGCUGUGCCUAUGCCAAGAUGGGGACAAAGCCAGAUCUCCAGAGGAUGGGCACGCUGAGAGCAGAGAGAGGAGCCAUCUUGGGAGACAUUGCUGCAGCACCUAAGAUGGCUGGGCUGGCAUACGACGUUUGGAUGUGGAGUGGUCAGUAGGGAGGGAGAUUCUGCAUACUCUAUUGGUGUUCCUGGUACAGUAUGGACCAAACCACUAAACAACAAUCAGACUAUUGGAAACCAUCUCUGUCACUGUCAUACAAAGUUUAUACAACCAGAGGACCACGACAAGGAAGAGGGAAGAUUUGUGCAAUUUAGUUUUAUUGUGUGUUUUUUUUGUUAGCAAUAGGGUAAUAGUGUAAUGAUUUGAUUCUUUUUUUUAAAUUGUAAUUAUAUACUACAAUGUGUUUCUAUUUGUCUUUGUUACUUCUUUUUGAUAUUCAUUAUUUGAGUCUUAUUUUUGUAUAUAUUUAUAUAGUUUUAAAUGCUAUGAUUAUUUGUGUUGUUCCAAAUGUCUGAAUAAAAAUGACAGUUAGUGUAGAA